rnacentral:ncRNA from 1 species
GUGGGGCUUCCGAGCCCGGACGAGGUGCGCCGUACCCGGUCACGACAAGACGACGCCUU